AACAAGGCGUACCUGCGGACCUGCGGAAGGAUCAUUAAAAAGAGUGUGUACCCCUCUGUAAAAUGAGUGGGUUACCUCCCGUCCUUUGUUGACCUCUUAGGAGGUUAUUUUGAACUUUCUGCUUCGGUGGGGUUAAACCUACCGGAACACCCUCAAAUUCUUAUCAUUUAAAAAUUGUUCAGUCUGAUUUUUGUUAAUAAAAACAAAAAACUUUCAGCAACGGAUCUCAGAUCGGAAGAG
rnacentral:misc_RNA from 1 species